rnacentral:lncRNA from 1 species
CGGAGUUCUAGUAGGCUUCUCAAAAUGUUGACUUCGUUCCACGGAUGAUGGCCAGCGAAGCCACAGAUAAUUGCACUCCAUGGGAUAAGCCACUCUUUCUUUUAUUUUUUAUUUUUAUUUUUUUUGGAUAGAGGUUGUACUUUUCACGUAAAAGAAGGAUUCAUCUUCCUUCACACGGAUUCACCAUUGAGGCCCCCCACUACAC